UACGUAGGGUGCAAGCGUUAAUCGGAAUUACUGGGCGUAAAGCGUGCGCAGGCGGUUAUGCAAGACCGGUGUGAAAUCCCCGGGCUUAACCUGGGAACUGCAUUGGUGACUGGCAGGCUUUGAGUGUGGCAGAGGGAGGUAGAAUUCCACGUGUAGCAGUGAAAUGCGUAGAGAUGUGGAGGAAUACCGAUGGCGAAGGCAGCCUCCUGGGCCAACACUGACGCUCAUGCACGAAAGCGUGGGGAGCAAACAGG
rnacentral:rRNA from 1 species